rnacentral:rRNA from 1 species
ACUCCUACGGGAGGCAGCAGUGGGGAAUAUUGCACAAUGGGCGCAAGCCUGAUGCAGCGACGCCGCGUGGGGGAUGAAGGCCUUCGGGUUGUAAACUCCUUUCGCUAGGGACGAAGCUUUUUUGUGACGGUACCUAGAUAAGAAGCACCGGCUAACUACGUGCCAGCAGCCGCGGUAAUACGUAGGGUGCGAGCGUUGUCCGGAAUUACUGGGCGUAAAGGGCUCGUAGGUGGUUUGUCGCGUCGUCUGUGAAAUUCUGGGGCUUAACUCCGGGCGUGCAGGCGAUACGGGCAUAACUUGAGUGCUGUAGGGGUAACUGGAAUUCCUGGUGUAGCGGUGAAAUGCGCAGAUAUCAGGAGGAACACCGAUGGCGAAGGCAGGUUACUGGGCAGUUACUGACGCUGAGGAGCGAAAGCAUGGGUAGCGAACAGGGUUAGGUACCCCGGUAGUCCCAUGA